UUUGUUUAUGUGGUGCGGAAGAGAAUCAAGCUGAGUCCAGAAAAGGCUAUCUUCAUUUUUGUGAAGAACAUUUUGCCACCAACUGCGGCUAUUAUGUCUGCGAUUUAUGAGGAAAAUAAGGAUGAAGAUGGAUUCUUGUACAUGACUUACAGUGGGGAAAAUACAUUUGGUGUGAUAAUCUGAAAUCAACUAAUGGAGAGAGGCAAACCAUGUGAAUAGAACUUCCUAAAAAGUCGCCCAAUGUGAAGGAGGUGGCAUAAUUGUAAAUUCUCUGGGUUGAAUCGUUUCAUGUAAAGUUUUAUUAUUAAACUUAAUUUGGUGAUAAUGGUAUGUGUACUCCAGCUUAUUUGAAAAACUGCCUUAUGAUUA